AUGAAGGACUGGUUUGACUAAACGGAAAAAAAUAGUGCUCAACAUUCUGAACAUCUAUUCUCCCGUUGGAUUUAUUUCUCAUUUUAAAGAGGUGUUCGAAAUAAUAGACCAAACUUGCAUGUUACCCCUAUUUGUUUUAUUUUAGCCAUGUCUGCCAUCUUUCUUGGUAGGCACGGUCAUAGGACACAUCUUAUAAACUAGAUACCCUAAUGUGGUGAAGUCGGGUUAAAUUUGGCGAAUAUAUUUUGUGAAAGCUAAUAGACGACGAAGGCUGACGGACGCCAAUUGAUGAAAAAGUUCACUAGGACCUACGGGUUAGGGGAGCUAAACAUUAUGUAGAGGUGUUAGAGUUAUCAUCAUAGAGGCUACCGCAGGGUCAAAAACGACCUGCGACCUCCGGGCUUUUUAGAGGCGACUUCCGACCUGAGGGCCUUCUAAAAACGACCUGCGACCUGUAAAAUUUGGAAAAAACGACCUCCGACCGACUUCCGUCCUCUGUGUUGGGAAAAAACGACCUGCGACCUGUACAUUUCCCUUAAAACGACCUC
rnacentral:lncRNA from 1 species